rnacentral:misc_RNA from 1 species
AGGUUCAACUUUCUUUGAUCCAGAAGUCUCAGCUUCAACUACUUUCUUUAUCUUUGGAUCUUUUUCACUUUUAUUUGCAAGGUUUGAUUUUGAAUUUGAUCUUGAAUUACAAACUUCAAAAUCCUCUCCUUUCGGAGUCCUGAGCACCGAACGUCUGGUUGGAAUGGCAGCUUGUGGCGAGUUCUUUUCUGAUUUCAUUCUUUGCGGACUCUCUCUUUCCCUCCUAUUUAGCUUCUUCGUAAUUGUUUUUGAUGUAUCAUUAUGAUUUCUUUUGUGGACUUCACUGGUAUUAGCCUGGGACUUCAAUCCGGGCUUGCCACAUUUACCUUCCAUUGGAGCUCCCACCUUUGGAGAAAGAUUUUGCUGAUG